ensembl:misc_RNA Metazoa_SRP Metazoan signal recognition particle RNA
GCCAGGUGUGAUGGCUCACACCUGUAGUCCCAGCUUCUCAGGAGGCUGAGGCCAGAGGAUAGCUUGAGCCCAGGAGGUCGAGGCUGCAGUGAACUAUGAUCACACCACUGCACUCUAGCCUGGGCAACAGAUCAAGACCCUGUCUCUC